AAAGUCGUAACAAGGUUUCCGUAGGUGAACCUGCGGAAGGAUCAUUACAAAUCCAAAAAAUUACCCGUUUUAAAUGUCUUCGGCCUUGGGGUGUGCCUCCUUCUCCCUCUCUCUAUUUCUUGUGUGUUGACACAUUGAUAUAUAUCGCGAUCGUCAAGAUGGUGAGCAUAUCAAAGCGCGCAACACACGAGAGAGGGAGAGAGAAGGUGGUGAUACCAUAUUCCUCCUUGUUGAGGCAUAUUAAACCAAGGUUCGUUUUAAAAAUGACUAUCAAUUUUGACAUCUUGUAACCUUUUAUCGUUCAUUCGAUAACAACAAAUACAACUUUUAACAAUGGAUCUCUAGGCUCUU
rnacentral:misc_RNA from 1 species